GAGGCUCAAGGGGGAAUAGUACUUGCCGGAGUCACACAGCUGGUGAGAGGGAGGCAGAGGUUGGUCAGUCUAGGUCAGUCCAAUUGCAAAGCCUAUGCUGCUUGCACCAUAGCACACAGCCUCCUGAGAGAGGGUGUCCAUGGGGGAGGUGACCCCCAGCCCUGUCCCCCUCACCAUGCCACCUCCCAGGACUCAACUCCAUCCUUUCAUGCUCUACUUGGCCUGCUGAGCAUUCAGCCUGUUAGAUCAUCCUUCUUUGUUUAAAAACGCUUCAAUAGAUGAAAGGAAACUUGGCAGUUACCUCUGCACACAGCUUUUAAGUGCACAUAUUGGCCAUCUUUGCAGAUUUAAUUGUCUAUAAAAUUACUUUAUAUGCAAUCCCCAUAUGGUUCUUCAGGGCCUUGCACUCUGCAGGCUUCUUAGCUGGUUCCCACUCCCAGGCUGCAGCACAGCUCCUGAAUGGCUGUCACGCACUCUGGAGCCAGCCGGGUUCAAUACAAAGCUGGGCUACCUGCCAGAUGUGUGGUUUGAGUAGUGGACAAAUCAUCCUAGGCCUCAGUUUCCUCAUCUGUUAAGGGACAUAAUCACAGUAACUUAUUGGGAGGUUGGGAAAAUUCAAUGAAAUAAUGCAGAUAAAUUGCUCAGUGCUGUGCCACACACACACGUACACACACACACACACACACACACGCACACACAGUGUGGUAGCUAACUUUUGAGAUCUUAACCCAUUCUCUUCUUCCUCCAUUUUCUCGAACUCUUAGUCUCCCCGCUGUACCUCCAGCCCUGCCGUGCAGUCACACACCUGUGGAUUCAGGACAGGUGACUGAGAAGAAGAAAUGACAUUCAAGAAACAAGGCUUUUGGCUGGGCACGUUGGCUCACACCUGUAAACCCAGCACUUUGGGAGGCCGAGGUGGGCGGAUCACCUGAGGUCGGGAAUUCAAGACCAGCCUGGCCAACAUGACCAGAACCCCGUCUCUACUGAAAAUACAAAAAUUAGCCAGGUGUGGUAGUGGGCACCUGUACUCCCAGCUACUUGGGAGGCUGAGACAGGAGAAUCGCUUGAACCUGGGAGGCAAAGGUUGCAGCGAGCCGAGAUUGCACCACUGCACUGCAGCCUGGGUGACAGAGUGAGACUCCAUCUCAAAAAAGAAAAAGAAAAAAAAAAAA
rnacentral:lncRNA from 1 species